AUUGAACGCUGGCGGCAGGCCUAACACAUGCAAGUCGAGCGAGCGGCGGACGGGUGAGUAAUGUAUGGGGACUUGCCGUUAGAGGGGGAUGAAUACUGGAAAAGGUAGCUAAUUCCGCAUAGUAUGGAAUAGCCGAGGUGGGGUUAGCUAGUAGGUGGGGUAAUGGCUCACCUAGGCGACGAUCCCUAGCUGGUCUGAGAGGAUGAUCAGCAACACUGGGACUGAGACCCGGCCCAGCCUCCUACGGAGGCAGCAGUGGGGAAUAUUGGAAAAUGGGCGAAAGCCGGAUGCAGCCAUGCGGCGUGUGUGAAGAAGGCCCUAGGGUUGUAAAGUACUUUCAGUCGGGAGGCGUUACCGACAGAAAAAGCACCGGCUAACUCCGUGCCAGCAGCCGCGGUAAUAC
rnacentral:rRNA from 1 species